rnacentral:rRNA from 1 species
AUACGUAGGUGGCAAGCGUUGUCCGGAAUUAUUGGGCGUAAAGCGCGCGCAGGCGGUCCUUUAAGUCUGAUGUGAAAGCCCACGGCUCAACCGUGGGGGGUCAUUGGAAACUGGGGGACUUGAGUGCAGAAGAGGACAGUGGAAUUCCAAGUGUAGCGGUGAAAUUCGUAGAGAUUUGGAGGAACAACAGUGGCGCAGGGGACUUUUUGGUAUGUAACUGACGCUGAGGCGCGAAAGCGUGGGGAGCAAACAGGAUUAGAUACCCUGGUAGUCCACGCCGUAAACGAUGAGUGCUAAGUGUUAGGGGGUUUCCGCCCCUUAGUGCUGCAGCUAACGCAUUAAGCACUCCGCCUGGGGAGUACGGUCGCAAGACUGAAACUCAAAUGAAUUGACGGGG